UUGUACAGUUUUAGGGAUUAUAAGUCUAUAGCAACUCUGUCGGUUGGUGUUCAUGAGUGUGAGCUUAAUACAGCAAUGUUUGAGUAGUACAAAAAUGUUUUCGCUUUUGUGGUCGCCAGCUGUCCGUGAUCUGUAAAGUGAAAAUACACAGAGCUAUGAAGCAUACAAAUGUUUCGAAAUUUUAUCAAUGAUUGUAUACUAUGCAUGUUUUGAUUUAGUUCGUUUCAGAUUUGACAUGAGAUGAAAACCUGACAUGAUUUGAACAGAGCUGGGAAACGAAAAGGUAAGUCUGUUUCAUUCCACUAUGAACACUUGUAUUUUGACAAAAGAAGAGAUAAAGUGAGUUACUUUAUCAUCAUGGUUUCAUUUAGUGAACAGAGGUAAACCUAGCUAGCUUUUCGUGUACUCUAUUUUGGAUGAUGAGUAUGUCAGUAACUUUAAUUGUACGGCUAGUAAAGUAUGAACAUGAAUGCUUUGUUCAGAUUUUCAGAUGUGUGCUGGCAGUUCAAGUCUGGCAGCUGGAGUGAACAGUCGUGUUUUCUGGAGCUCCAACAAUAUGCUAGAAGGUAAGUAACUAUGUUUGUUUUGCAUUGCAUGUUUUUAUAUGUUUCAGACUUUCAAGCAGAGAUGUCAUGCUGACUGGAGUUGAGCACAGGGCAGUGACAAAGUGAAAGGUAAGUACUUUUGACUGAAUGUUUGUUCUAUGCAUGUUUUGUUUUAAUACAUUUCAGGAGUGCUUAUCCAGUGAUGAUAUGACAGUUGGAGUGAACAGUGGAGCCAAGCAGUCUUGUUUUUAGAGCUACUCAACAAGCCUUGAAGGUAAGUUUAGAAUUUCUCAAUGUUAGUGAAUUGAAGUACUGUCACUUGCUUUUGGACAGUCGAACAGAACAGACGUGGUUGCGAGAGCUCUCAUAUCUGUUGUGUUAAACUGUUUUUAUGAUAUGUUAUGUUUGUUUGUUUGUUUGUGAUGUACUAUUUUUCAGAUGCUGAUGGCAGUGAUGGGUUUUCAAGCUGACCUGAACAGAAAAGCACUCAUAUGGUAAGUACAAAAUAGUUGUUAUAUGGGAUGUUUUGUGCAUGCUUUUAUGUUUCAGGUGUACUUGCUGACAGCGACGAAGACGAAUCAAGAAGAGGAACAUUGUUGAGAAAGUGAUUGGGACUUGCAAACAGGGUAAGUGUAACACUUGUGUUUGUUUAAUUUGUAACAUGCGUGCUUUGCUCUGUUUCAGAUUUCACAUGCAGAAAUUAAACAGGAUUUCAACUGCUGAGACACAAUUCAUCAAAAGUAAGGUAAGUUUUAAUUCAUUGAUUUGAGUUGUACAAUGUGUUCUUUACUUUAUUUCAGAUUCGAGUCACUGGUUUACACAUGGAAGAAGAUUUCCACGUCUGUUACUCAACUCUACAGAAGCAAGAUGUUUUGUUUCAGUUGAUGUCCAGAUGGCAAGCAGUACAGACGUGUUUCUUGGAGCUGCCAAACAGGAGCUGUGGUGAGUAUUGUAGUAUACAUUUGUUUCAAUAAACCAUGAUUAAUGAAAACUGAUUUCGAUUCUUUUUUACAGUUUUAGGGAUUAUCACUCUAUAACAACUCUGUCGGUUGGUGUUCGUGAAUGUGAGCUUAAUGUUUGAGUAGUACAAAAAUGUCUUUACUUUUGUGAUCGCCAGUUGUCUGUGAUUUAAAGUGAAAAAUACACAGAGCUAUGAAGCAUACACUUGUUUCAAUAUUUUAUCAAUGAUUCAUCAAUGAUAGUGUGCUAUGCAUGUUUUGAUUUAGUUCGUUUCAGGUAUGACAUGACAUGAAGAGUUGACAGUCGAACAGAGCUGAGCAACGCAGAAAGGUAAGUGUGUUUCAUUUUAGUAUGAACACUUGUAUUUUGUUUUUAUAUGGUAUGUUUUGUGCAUGCUAUGUUUCAGGUGUACUUGUAGUCAGCGACGAAGACGAUUCAAGAAGAGGAACAUUGCUGAGAAAGUGAAUGGGACAUGCAAACAGGGUAAGUGUUACAAUUGUUGGUUUGAUUUUUACCAUGCAUACUUUGCUUUACUCUGUUUCAGAUUUCACAUGCAGAAAUGGUCUCAUAGCAGUGCCAACAGUGAAUAAGGAUUUCAUCUGCUGUGAAACAACUCAACAGAAAGUAGGUAAGCAUUGAAUGAAUGCACUUGAGCUGUACAAUUUGAUGUGAUGCUUUUCUCUGUUUCAGAUUCAAGUUCCUGGUGUAGACAGAGAAAUGUGUUUGAAGAAGGAAUUCUACUACUGUGAUUCAACUCUACAGAAGCAAGGUAAGUAGAAACAAAAUUUUGGUUUAAUUUAACUCAUGUGUUUUGCACUGCAUGCUAUUUUUCAGGUCUCUCAUGCAGUGAUGCAAAAGAAGAAGAUUUCAAGAAAGAAUCACUGCUGCAACUCAGGCCUAUAACAAGGUAAGUGUUUACUAUAUUGUAUACAAAAUGUUUCUCUGUUUUACUCUGUUUGAAGGUUUCAAUUGCAGAGAUGUUGCAGAGAUGUUUUGACAGCUUGUGACAGAAAAGAAAUUCAGCAGCUGUGUCUCGACUCUAGCCACGAGGUAAGUCAAAACAAAUAUACUGGUUUGUAUGUUAUGUUGUUAUGCCCUUCUAUGUUUCAGACUUACAUUGCUGUGACUGUUCCACAGUGGGUCAAAAAAGAGACGAAUACAGGUUUCAAGAAGAAAAUUGGCUGUUGAAAACCUGCACAAAAUAUGAGGUAAGUAAACUAUUCUUUUGGUUUGUUUUGUGCUUUGUUAUGCUUAACUAUUUUUCAGAUUGGAAUGGUGGGUCGUUACAGAGCAGACUUUUGGACAACUGAGAAGUUGAGAAACAGAGAAUGAUUCAAGAUCAGCUAGGUAAGUCUUGAUUAUUGUGCAUUGCUAAAUGUUUUUUUUCAUUCCAGUAUGGCUGUGGUAAGUACACAAACUUUCUAUAAUUUAAUAUUGAACUGUUUUUAUGACCUGUAUUCUGCAUUGUAAAAUGUCUGUUUUUCAUUUCAGUAUCCUGUGGUAAGUACAAUUGCCUUCUUUAAUUUUCAUAUUGAACUGUUUUGAUGACUUGUAUACUACUAUGCAAUGCUUAAUGUUUUUUUCAUUUCAGUAGCCUGUUGGUAAGUACACUAACUUUCUAUAAUUUCAUAGUGAAUUGUUUUGAUGACCUGUAUUCUGCAUUGUAAAAUGUGUUUCUUUUUCAUUUCAGUAUGGCUGUGGUAAGUACAAUUGCCUUUCAUAUUGAACUGUUUUGAUGACCUGUAUUUUGCAUUGUAAAAUGUGUUUCUUUUUCAUUUCAGUAUGGCUGUGGUAAGUACACAAACUUUCUUUAAUUUUCAUAUUGAACUGUUUUGAUGACUUGUAUUCUGCUAUACAAAAUGUGCUUUUUUCAAUUUCAGGUCAGCAAUGGUAAGUAUAGUGUGUUUUUUUAUGUAUAAUUUUGUAUACAUAUUGUUUUUUUCAUCAUAGCAUGUCUUUUAUAUUUAUGCUUUGUGUAAGUAAAAUGUUCAUAAAUCAUUCUUAUCUUCAAACUAAAAAUGUAUUGUGCUAUGCAAAAUGUCUGUAUGAUUUCAGUUGCCAGAGGUGAGUACCAUUACAGUUGAAAAGUUAGUUUUGUUUAGUUAAAGUUUUGGUUCACAGUUCUGUUUGUUAUUUGGCAAAAUUUACAUGUAUGCAUUGAGUCUUGAUUUCAGCUCGAUUGUGGACUGAAGAAGAUUGCCCGCAGAGGGAUUGGAUACAAAAUACAAAGUAAGUACUGAGUUUCUUACUAAAAGUUUUGAGUUGUAUUCAUUGUAUGUUAAUAUGCUAUGAUUGCUAUGAACAUGACUUUUGUAUUUCAGCGAAGACAACAUAGGUAAGUAAAAUUGUUAUCUGUUUCAUGUUUACUGUUACAGUUCAAUAUUGUGUUUAUAAAUUGUAAGUUGUACAAACACAUUCAAAAGUUUCUAAUCAUGCUUUCGAUUUCAUUUCAGCUUUACUGCUAGACGAGUGUUCUCUACUACUUGACGAGUCAGCUUUACUACCAGGCGAGCAGUGACAACAAGGCGCCUUUGUGGAAACAACACAACAAAAAACUGUACUGCUAGACGAGCAGUGACAGAAAGGCGCCUGAACAUGCAACACAAAACAAAAAAUGCCAAUAUACAAACCUUGAUGUGAACACCGAGUAGUCAAUACAUACGUGUGGCGUACAGCUGCGACAAAACCGUGGGUCCAUCGCACCGAUAACUCGAACAUUGGCCCGCGUAUGGACAUCAGUGCAACUUUGUGAAUCCAUGUAACUUUGUGAAUCCAUGUAACAUUGCGAAUAUGUGUCGAUCGAAAAAAUGUGUACAUUCUGCACUGAAACGAACUCGGUGUUGCAAGUGGCAAGUGUUGACAGUGUGUAUGUUUAUGUUUAUGUUUUUACAUGAAAACUAAAGGAGAUUGUUCUCCUACCUUUUUUUUCCUUGUUUUAUUGCGCUGGCCAGCAAUAUUGAUGUAUGUGUUUGUGUUUAAACUAUGCAAUACCAAAAUCAAACAAAAAUAAACAUUAACAGUCAUUAACUGUGUUUGGGCGGCCGAGGGGUUUAAGACUCCACAAGUGUGAAGCGCACUGAUAGCACUUGGGGGUGAACACCUCGGUAUUUCGGUGCUAAAAUGUUUUCACGGUGCUUAUCUUGACGCACUGUUAAGACUACCAACCAGUUAAUGAUUGCUUCAUCUUUAAACAAAAAGUAAGUCUCUACUUUGGCACAAGAGACUCCAAGUACCAAAUACCAACAAUUAAAAAGCAGACGUUUUUCAAAACUAUGAUCGCUGAGAUUGAUAGUCAGAUGGAGUCCUGCCCAGUUAGCUGUGUAGCGGUCUAGGGCGGGG